GAUGAACGCUAGCGGCAGGCUUAACACAUGCAAGUCGAGGGGUAGAGGAAGCUUGCUUCCUUGAGACCGGCGCACGGGUGCGUAACGCGUAUACAAUCUACCUUUUACAGAGGGAUAGCCCAGAGAAAUUUGGAUUAAUACCUCAUAGUAUAGUACUUUGGCAUCAAGGAACUAUUAAAGUCACAACGGCAAAGAUGAGCAUGCGUCCCAUUAGCUAGUUGGUAAGGUAACGGCUUACCAAGGCAACGAUGGGUAGGGGUCCUGAGAGGGAGAUCCCCCACACUGGUACUGAGACACGGACCAGACUCCUACGGGAGGCAGCAGUGAGGAAUAUUGGACAAUGGGCGCAAGCCUGAUCCAGCCAUGCCGCGUGCAGGAUGACGGUCCUAUGGAUUGUAAACUGCUUUUGUACAGGAAGAAACACUACUUCGUGAAGUAGCUUGACGGUACUGUAAGAAUAAGGAUCGGCUAAACUCCGUGCCAGCAGCCG
rnacentral:rRNA from 1 species